ensembl:lncRNA
AUGGAUCAAUCUGCGGACGGAAAUAUAGAAAGCAAACAGAAUGCUGCGAAACCGCGUUGUCAGCGCUAUUUAGUGUCUUUUCCAACCAUAGUGUGUUUAGUGUUAUCGCUGAGUUCAAUAGCGGUGUGUUUUCUCAUGAGUUUCAAAACACAUCAGAUGGAGAGCAGGCUGCGCGAGCUGGAGAUAAAGAUGACUGACAUCUGUCAAGAAUCAUCCAAGGACACCUCUGUUCCACAGGAGCUGCGCAAAUCCAUUGAAACACUCUUACAGGAGAGGGUGAAUGAAGCGAUGCCCAAGUUGCGUGUGGCGAGAGACGUGACACAAGAUUGCAGCUGUCCUCCAGGUCCUCCUGGGAAACGUGGACGGAUGGGCAGAAGAGGCGACCCUGGACCCCCAGUAAGUACCCUGUCCUCACACUUCAAAAUAAUGACAUUAGGCAGAUAUGGGCUCUGUGUUGUGGUAAGGCUGACAAAAGGAAGGGUGAGUCAUAAAACCUGAGAAACGGCCUUCAAGUUCUGGAAUCAUUUAUACAUCCUGAAUAUUUGCACCAAGUUUUUCUUACUUUACAUUUCUAGAACCUCCAAAUCUAAGCUUCUGAAACAUUAGCAUUCUAGAAUUAGCAUUCUUCUGAGAUUCCAGAAUAAAGUUCUGGAAUAUUCACUUCA